CCAACCUUGGAUUAAGAUUGUAUUUAAGGUGAAUGUGAAACCCAUUCAUGGGUUUAGAUCUUGAUCUAAUGCUGAUUCUGUUAAUUGAACAAUUACAGAAAUAUUUAAAUUUCAUAUCUGGAUGAGCUCUUCCUCUCUGCUAGACUCCUAGCUUGCCUCUACAUCAAUUUAAAUUUCUUACUCUGUACAGUUCUCCACAUACAGCAUAAAAUUCCUUUUAGUCUAAGCACAUUCACACACUGUAACCAUAUGAAAUCUGAACCUGCAGAGCUGGCCCUGACUUGAUGUAUAAAUGCAUUAGAAAGUACUUUUUUGCACAUGUUUUUACUGUGACAUUUUCAGCAAUGAACUGACUAGAUUCAUUCUGCAGUAUCAGAAAAACAUGUUUCUUUUGAAUACAAGCAGGACCCAAAGAAAGAAAAAAAAGGAUAUGUGCUUAUGUGACGCUGGCAAUACUUAUAUUAAAAGCAGUAACCAUAUAAAUUAAUUAUUAAAAACUCUCUCAAACAUUUAAAAAACUCCGACUCCUUUUUUCUUUAACUUCUACAGACAUCAGUGAUACAUGAGGAGUUAUUUCAUUUUGUUUCUCAUAUUGGAUGAGUUUAAUCUCGUUAGGCUAUAGCCGUCCUCACUCACAGAAUGAGGGGGUUCCAAGAAGAGCUGGCAAGAUAGUCAUUUCCACCUUUAAUGAUCUUUAAUGGUCACCUGUGUGAACACACAUGGCACAACUUUGUGAAGUUUUAAUUUCCAUGUUUAUACAAGGAGGCAAGAAGGAGGGAAUUGGACUAAAUAUCCUCUGAGAACUCUUGUUUUAUUUAUUUAUUUUUAAACUGAUGCUCUAAUCCCAUGAAUGGAUGAUCUCUUGAGUUCCAGUAUUUUAGAAGAAUUAGAAAAGGUAGGAAGGGUUUCCUGAGAAUGGGAUAGAACAGAAAUCCCAUAUUGAUCAAGCACUUAAAGGAACAAUAAGAAGAGAGGAAAAUAAAGGCAGUUAGGAGAUCAUACAGAAGACCUAACAAGUACUUGCGGAUAAAGAAAGAUAAAAGAAGGAGAAGGUCAUUGGAGAGAACAGACACCCCAAUUUAGAAGAAAAGGUAUGGGAAAAGGAGAGAAAUAGGCAGGAGAUCUUCCAUAAUUUAAAAAAUAGGGGAUUUGGGGGGAGAUUAAGGAUCUGAGAAAAAGAAAUAGAAAUAGAAAAGACAAGUGGUUGAAAUAUGGGGUUGAACAUAAGAAUAGAAAAACAUGGAUAGUGAAGAAGGCUUGAAAGAUGUUAGGAUGUUUAACCUAUAUCUGAUUGCUUGCUAUUUUUAGAUGGAAGGGAGAGGAAGGAGGAGAGAGGGAGAAAAAUUUGGAACACAAGAUUUUGCAAAGGUGAAUAUUGAAAAGUGUCUUUAUAGUAUUUGGAAAAAUAAAAUAUCAAAAAAAAGUUGUUAGGAUCAGAAUGCCAAGAAUGGUUGGUCUGUCAAUGCAUCUAAAAGCAACAUUCCUGAAACAAACAACAACAAAAGCUGCUCUAAUUGAUCUUGUAUUAACAGCAAAGAUGAAAGUGAUUAUUUUUAGGCAAACUAUUCUGCUCUUGAGUCUGGAGGGAAAUGAUUAAGGAGAUUUUUAACAAUAUUGACUACUUAGCAGGCUUGGGAGGGAGGUUUGUUACAAUAUUUUGGAAUCCAUGAUGAUCCUUGUGAACAUCAUCAUACUUCAGAGUUUCAGAAAGAGGGGAUAAGUGAUUGUUCUAUCAGUUGUGCAAACUGGAUUAAGAUAAAGAUGAUGAUGUUUUUAAGUGUUCAAGGCAGUGAUUCUGUCUCUGUGGGAUGAGUAUCCUUGUGGAGGUUGGGGGUGGUGGUGGAGAAAAGAUACAGAAUUACUCUAAGAGUUCCUCUAAUCUAUAUACCUACUAAGGAUGGUCAUUUCAUUCUUUACUUGCUUCUAACAGUCUAUACAUUAAAACGAGGAAACAUAUCCUUGCUAUACCGAAUGAAUAUCUGAUACUGAUAUUUUUAUCUUGGAAUUAAAUGCUGUUGUGAUUAAUAAAAUACAAUUAUAUCUAAAAAUAUUACUGAAUGCAUGGUAGAUGUUUUUAAAUAUGCUUUCUGUUUUGCAGAGUAGGGUGCUGGGCUUGGAGUCAAUAAGAGCUAGAUUCUAAUUUUGCCUCUGAUACUAUUUGAAUUAAGGUAAGUCACUUAACUUCUCUUUAAUUGACUCAGAUAAUUCUCUAGAACAUAGGGUAAGUCACAAAUUCCUUGUCACUUGAAAUACUCUCUAGGACUUACUUAUUAAGUAAAAGACUUAAUACAGAGUGGAGUAGGAAGUUCUCCUUGCUGAAAUUAUAGAACCUGUGUGCUACCAUCAUUUUUUUCUCCUGUAAUUUUCCUUUUAAAAAUUCUGAAUUUCAAAAUUUCUCCAAUCCUUCCCUUCCCCUUUGGGAAGCAAGCAAAGAUCUAAAUUAUUUUCUUAACCAAAUGGAUAACAACGAUUCCACAAUUACCAUUGGUAGUAUCAGAUUAGUGUCUAUGAAGUUAUUUAAUAUAAAAAAAGAUUCUUACACUCAAAAAGUUUGGGAACCACUAGUAUAUGAAAAUAAUAUCUGAAGGGAAGGCAGGGAUGCUGUUAAGGCUAAUGGUGAGUGUAACAGGUGAAGGUAUUCAAGGAUAUAGCUGAGAACUAGAGUUCUGUUGAAACUCUAGAAGGCCAUGAAAAAUUUGUUCAGAUGAAAACCAUAUCUCUGAAACCUAAAAUGAAGGCAGAAUAAAAAAAAAUGGGGAAAAAAUGAAUAAAAGUGAACCAACUGUCCCAAAGGAAAUGAUGUCAGAAGUCUGUAGAAGCCAAAGAAGCUUAUGGGAGAACUGUUCUUUCAUUUAAUAUUUUUAAAUCAUAAAGGAAAGAGGUGGGGGAGGGGUUUGAGUGGGAAGAAACAAUUACAUUAUUUCAGGUUUUUAUUUAAAACCAUGCUUUAGUUUUCUGCUACUAAUUCCACCCUUUUAAGGAAAAAAAAAUAAAAUUAUGCUGGAAAAUUGUUCACCCCGAAAUCAUAACCUCUUCUUUAUUCUGCUUAAUUCAGGUAAAACAAUGCCAUCUGUUUUUCCUGUGUGGUCACUUUUUUAUCCACCUGCUUGCAGAGUCAAAUGAGAAAAGACAAGACACCCUAUGAAGUUAGUAUCAAUCUUUCCAGAAGCUCAACAGUAGGAUCUCUUUCUUUGCACACGCUGUAUAUGGCCCCAGCAUUGCUGUAGCUCACACAAGGGAGUCAUUCUUUAAAAGAAGAUAAGGAAAGAAAAAGCUUCUGCUCAGAGCUACAACUGGACACACAGAACAAAUUAAUUUUAUGAUGAAGCAAAAGGAAAAAAAUAAUACUCUCAGUCUGGAACUCUUUUCUGGAGUUUAGACAGUUUUGUCAAUAGAAAUAAAUAAGAAAUUCUCCCUACUGUUAAUGUUAGUAGCCUGUUAAUGGUGAGCUUUUCUCCAUUACCCUUUCUUUAUUUCUUGUAUUGUCACCUUUUUAGCAUGCUGAGAGUGAUAAAACUCUUGGAACUUAAAAAGUAUAUUCUAGAAUUAAGCUUUCUUUGAAAGAGCUUGGAUUUAAACAUCAGGGGAAACAAGGUAGAGCUGUGAUGAUAUUUAAAAAAAAAAAGAGGCUUGGGUUGAGUAGUUAAGCUAGAGUCUUUCUCCAUGUGUAUGUAAGUAUUUAAGUGGAUGGGAAAAAUCAAUAUAAUUAAUAAAAAAUAAUAGUUAUCAUUUACAUAGUGUUUACUAUAUGCCAGACACUAUGCUAAGUGUUUUAUAAUUAUUAUCUCAUUUGAGCCUCACAAAAAUCCUAGGAAGUUAGUUCUAUUAUUACUCCCAUUUUACAGAUGAGGAACCUGAGCAUCACACACCUAAUAAAUGUUUGUAUUUAGAUUUGAAUUCUGAGCUUCUUAAUUCCAGAUCUGGCACUUUUACUGGUCUGCCACCCAGCUACAUAAAUGGUCAGGGUUGGACUUGCUAGCUAGCUGGUACACGAGAUAGUGGCUAUUAUGGUUUCUAGAUACAGCCUCCGCCCUUCCUCCUUUUUGUCUUUAAAUUUUCCCCACUUAAGUGUCACAGUUUCCUAAAUUUCACUAGUAGAGAGAUUUUUUGGCUUCAUGAAAGAUUCUCUUUUUAAAACAUUAAUAGGCCUUCAAAGGAUAACAAAUUGUUUUUGGUUUGAGGUAAACUAGUUUAUUAGGUCAUUUCUCUAUGUGAUAAGAGGAACAGCAUAAAAAGUCUUAGAUGCAUAUAGGAAGAAAGAACCUGAAGACUAGAAGGCAGUUUCUACAAGUUGGUUGAAGUGGAGAUUGGUUUUGAUGAGCAAUUAUUUUUCCAUUGAGUUAAUGUUGAACACCAAUGGCAAUCCAUUUCAUCUAUGGUGAGUGACAAAGAAGUCAGUGCUUUAAAAUAUAUUCUAAUUAGAUUUAUCAUCUUUAUAAAGCCAGUUUAAAAUCUAUUAAUUAUGUUAGGGCAAAUUUGUAAAAUUCUCUAUAGAUUGAAAUUCAGGUUUAAAAAUCUCUUUUUUUCCCCUAUCUUUCCAACAGCUCCACCUCUCAAUCAGACAUCAAAUCUGGUGAAGAGAUUUUUUUUGUGAGUGUGUACCCUUCUCCCACCCUAUCGAUUUCCAAGCGUUCUCUAAGAUCACUUAUUUACUAUCCUAGUUCAGGGACCUUAUCACUUAAUGACUGAAUUUCUGAAAUUCUGAAAUAGAAUUUUCCACUCUCCUUUUAAAAAAAGGUUUUUAUUUUUCAAAUACAUGCAAAUAUAUUUUUCAACAUUCACUACCGCAAAACCUUGUAUUCCAAAUUUUUUUCUUCUUCUCUCCCACCCCAGACAGCAAAUAAUCCAAUAUAGUUAAAUAUGUACAAUUAUUCUAGACAUAUUUGAAAUAGGCUACCUAAGGCUACCAUGAAUCCUGAGUCACCCAUCCCCAGUUCAAACUAUAUGCUGCCAUGAGGUUAAGUCUUUAAAACAAGAGCUGUUCUCUCCUCCCAAACUCUGAUAUUUUGUUGUCCGUUUUUUAAUUAAUUCAAUGAUAUCUAAUGCUUGAUAAUCCCAUUUGGGGUUUUGUUAGUAAAAAUACUAGAAUAGUUUGUCACUUUCUUCUACAGCUCAUUUUCCAGAUGAGAAAACUGAGGCAAAAAUGGUUGAGUGAUUUAACCAGCUAUUAAAUGCCCAAGGUUGUAUUUGAACUCGGGGAAAAAAGUCUUGACUCCAGGCCUAAUAUUGUAUCCAUUGUGCCACUAGUCUUUUUGUUACCCCUAUCACUUAGCAUUGUGCCUGGUAUAAACGUUGGUUGACUGACUUGUGGCAUGAAUAAAAUUUGGAAAAUUAGAUUUUGAAUUUCAGAACCCCAGUUUCUUCAUAUGUAAAAUUCUUAGUCACAAUAAACUAAAAGAUUAUAAGACAAAUAUUACUACAUGAAAAAUCAUCUUUCGUUGCUCUGUUUUUUGCUGAGCCUUUCUAAUGCCUUUUUUUUCUUUUAGAGCCAUUUUAAUUAUUUUUACUAUCUCUCUUCUCCUUUUUCAUCAUAAUAUAGAAUCAAAAUUUUUUCAAUAUUUGUUGCUAUAUUUAAAUGUUUCCUGUUUUUAAUUUGAAAAAUAUAUGACUUGAAAAUAUGAUUUCUUAAAAAAACCUUCAAAAAUUAUUAUUUAAAAAAUAAAGUGCUAAGACUCUCAAAAAUUGAUUUCCUUUUCCAAUAGAUAGGUGGCUCAUAGUUAAAAAAAAUAAGGAGGAGACAUACAUGAUGAAUUCAAAGUCUUUCAGCCCUUAAAAUUUCUCAGUUCCAUCACUAAACACUCUCCCUCCCUCCCUUUUCCCCUUCUCCCCUCUUCCUUCUUUUUCUCUUUCUUUCUUUCUUUUUCUCUUUUCUUCCUUUCUUCCUUCCACCUCAGAGUAAAAUAGUAUACUCAUUCCUGGCCUCUUUUGAUCACACCUCUUUUGCUUUGAUAUUAUUUCAUCUUUUUUUUUUCUUGACUCUCCAAUAUUAUCAUCAUAUAAUCUUCUUUUCUUCCUACCUUAUGUCUUCACAUACUCCUAAAUUUCUGGUAGUAUGGUUUCCAUUACUACUAUUCUCCUUAAAACACUCUCUUAGUGAUCAUCCAAUGGCCUGCUAAUUGCCAAAUACAAUUGCUCUUUUAAAUUCCCAUUUAUCCUCUCUGUAACAUCUGAUGGUGGUGAUGUCCUUCCUUCUAAAUGUCCUCUGUUCUUAGUCUUUCCCUUAACUCAGGGUAAGUAUUAUCCAAGUUUUAAAAUUUGGCCUUUUGCUUAUUCUCUUUCUAAAAUUUUUCCCUUGAGUCAUUUCAUUUGUUCCUAUGCCUUCACCUAUCUGUGAUGUGAAGAUUCCCCCCUCUUUUAAAUCUGUGGAAUAAAAAAAGCACUUCUAUAACAUAGAAUAAUAAAAUGCCUUCACUACAUCUGUCUCCAUCUUUGACCUUUUGAUUUGAAUAAGCUCCUUAACCAGCUUAUAGUCUCAUCUCACCUAAAUGUCCUCAACAAAUCUUAAACCUAACAUGUCUAAAAUUAAGUUUAUUUUCUUCUUCCAAGCCCAUUUCUUCUUUACCAUUUCUAUUGGUUGUAUUACACCAUUCACAUGGCCUACUGUAUCUGAAAUCAUGGUGUUGGUUUUAGUGUUUUCCUAUCUCUUAUAUCUCAUUUCUAAUCAAUUACUAAGUCGUGUCGACCAUAAUCUGAUACCUCUCACUUAUGUGAUGUAGUCUCAGUUUAUUAUCUACAAGGAUUAUUACAUUAGCUCUUGUAAUACCUCUUUCCUUUACUCUUUCCUCCUCAACUAAUGGAUCUCAGAUACUGAGUACUUCAGAAGCAAUCUAGUCCAAUAUGAAUAAAAGCCCUCUUUAUGGUAAAAGGUAUGCUGUUCAAUUUCAGCUAGACAUAUUUCCUUAUCUUCAUUUUGUGAUUAGUUUAAUCUUAAUGCUUAAAACUGACCAUACUGGGCCUUUAAUUUAAAAACCAAAACCAAAACAAAUUUCAAUAGAUCUUAAUGGCCUGCCAAAUAAAAUCAAACCAAAAACCAUUUUCUUUCUCUAACACUCACCUCUCUAGUAGUCCUCAAAUUUUCUCAUUAGUAAAAGGAUAGCCUUAGACAUUAUGACUGGUAAGGUCUCUUUUAACUCUAAAUCUGAUUAAGUGGCAGUUAGGAUUUGAAUUCAUGUCUUAUUACUUCAUAUCUAAAGCCUUCUGGACUGCCUUGUAUAUGUGAACAGGGUUAGGGCCAGAACUAAAAUCCACAUUUCCACUUCCUUUCCAACAAUACUUUCAUUACAUGUAAUGCCUGCUGCUUAUCUGAACCUGAUUUGCUAGUCUUUUAAUUAUAAUAUAAUAAAUUAUAAUAAUUAUUAAGAAAGUCUUUUAAAAAUCUAAAUAUUAAUCUGACCAAAAAAAUGACCACAUAUAGUCAUACCCAAAGAAAUAAAACCAGUUUGAUUUUAGGUAGGUAAAAGGUGUUUGCAUAUGUCUUGUGACUUCAUAUUUAAUGCCUUAUGGGCUGCUUCCUAUAUGUGAAUAGUGUCAGGACCAGAACUAAAAUCCACAUUUUCACUUCCUUUCCAAUAAUACUUUCAAUUACAUGUAUUGCCUGCUGUUUAUCUGAACCUGAUUUGCUAGCCUUUUAAUUAUAUAUGUAAAACAUAUAAAUUAUAAUUAAUUGCAAUUAUAAUAUGAUAUAUUAUAAUAAUUAUUAAGAAAGCCUUAAAAAAUCUAAAUACUAAUCUGACUAAAAAAAGAAUAACUACAUAUAGUCAUAAUCAAAAGAAAUAAAACCAGUUUGAUUUUAGAUAGGUAAAAGGAGUUCACAUCAUGUAACAACAUUUUAAAAAUAUGUUUAUGAUGAUAUUAUCUAAUUUCUAAUCACAAUAUAUCAUUUCAAAUGUAAUGUUAAAACUUCCAUUCUUCAAUCCUUGAAUUCAAUAAUUACCCUCAAAUAACCUUUCCUUACAUUGAGUAAUUUUAAAACUUUGCUUUCUGUGGAAAAAUGGAUUUCAAUAGACAACUUUUUAACAUUACCUUCAUUAAGCUGUGCCCAUAUUAUGCUAUUAGUCUGCUUCUCCUCUCAUUUUAACAAGAUCUAAUUGAGUACCAAGCGAUAUGACAUUUUUCUAAAAAAUGCUCCUGUGCUGAAGGAGCUUAUCACUUAGGAAAGAUGUGAUAGAUUCAUGAUACAAUUCACAGACUCAGCAUUACUUUGGGUAGAUAGAUGCCAUGAUUAAGAACAUGUUACAAGAAUGUAACAGAUUAGAGAUCAGUUUCCACUAAUUACAUGACCUGCAUCAGUAACAACUGUUAAAUGAAGUUUGUGUUUCUGAGCCAACCAUUCAAAUAGAUUGGAAUGAGAUUAAAAUUCAUAUUAAGCAUUUGAUGAGGGGGCAACUAGAUGGCACAGUGGAUAGAACACCAGCUCCAGGAGUUAGGAGGAUCUGAAUUCAAACUUAGUUCCAAACACUUUACCAACUGUGACCCUAGGCAAGUCACUUAAUCCUAAUUGCCUUGUGCACUCCCCCUCCCUCC